GCUUAACACAUGCAAGUCGAGGGGCAGCAUGGUCUUAGCUUGCUAAGGCUGAUGGCGACCGGCGCACGGGUGAGUAACACGUAUCCAACCUGCCGUCUACUCUUGGCCAGCCUUCUGAAAGGAAGAUUAAUCCAGGAUGGGAUCAUGAGUUCACAUGUCCGCAUGAUUAAAGGUAUUUUCCGGUAGACGAUGGGGAUGCGUUCCAUUAGAUAGUAGGCGGGGUAACGGCCCACCUAGUCAACGAUGGAUAGGGGUUCUGAGAGGAAGGUCCCCCACAUUGGAACUGAGACACGGUCCAAACUCCUACGGGAGGCAGCAGUGAGGAAUAUUGGUCAAUGGGCGAUGGCCUGAACCAGCCAAGUAGCGUGAAGGAUGACUGCCCUAUGGGUUGUAAACUUCUUUUAUAAAGGAAUAAAGUCGGGUAUGCAUACCCGUUUGCAUGUACUUUAUGAAUAAGGAUCGGCUAACUCCGUGCCAGCAGCCGCGGUAAUACGGAGGAUCCGAGCGUUAUCCGGAUUUAUUGGGUUUAAAGGGAGCGUAGAUGGAUGUUUAAGUCAGUUGUGAAAGUUUGCGGCUCAACCGUAAAAUUGCAGUUGAUACUGGAUGUCUUGAGUGCAGUUGAGGCAGGCGGAAUUCGUGGUGUAGCGGUGAAAUGCUUAGAUAUCACGAAGAACUCCGAUUGCGAAGGC
rnacentral:rRNA from 1 species